GCAAAAUCAACAUUUGGUGUUCCUAUUGGUGUUUCUUUUCUGCAUCCUUCAGAUUUGAUAGAUUUAUUUUAAAGUGCCAUUGAAAGUUCACCUUCUCUUGCCUUGAUUCUGUGAUGAUGGCUGGAAUUUCAGAAAAUCAACUAGAAAAUAAGGUGGAUGUUACCUUUGUAAAUCAUGGUCAUGUAACUUGCACUCUAUGUCUACCUGACCCAAGCACCCAAAAGAGAAUUCAACAGGGAAAAGAUGGAAACGAAAUGGAAAAAGAGAAAUAAUGAGCAAACAAACAGUUAAAUUUGCAUACUGUAUCCAUAUGUACACUUGGUACAUUUGUUAACACCCCAGUUUAUUUAAACAUGAGCAUUAUUAUAUUACAUUAAAACUAAUUUGUUGGACUUAAUAAUGCCGUCAUUGCAAUUUGUGUUUACGAACACAAUACAACUGAUACUGGCAAAAUGUUUGUGGUGGGUGCAGCGCUAGAGGCAACAGAAGAUGGGACGAGGAUCAUAUUAUGUGGUCGAACCGUCGAAACCAGUUGCUGCUGUCAAAAGCUGUUUUGAUGCUUGAAGCUGUUUAUUCUUCCACCAAUUCACUGCCCUGAUCCUACUGUCCAAGUCCCUGAACUAUUUGGCAUGAAUUGGAACCCUUUCAAAUAACUUCGCUUUUACUAUUGUGGUUUGUUUGAGUAUAAAACUUUUCUAUUGCUCCUAGCAAUAGUGGUGGUCUGGGUAAAUACUGUACGUCCUCCAGACAUCAAGAAUGUCAAAAAUUGAAAAUCAAAUUCUUGAAACUUUAAGAUGGGGUUUGGUUAAUUGGUUUGCCGAAUAGAAAUUCAAUGUAAUGCAAUAGUCUGCAUAAUGCAAUAUAGUUAUGUAAUGGUAAUAGGUUAUUGCGACAUAUUUGUUUGGCCGAUUCUUGAUAUUUGUGUAAUAAUUGUAAUGUUAUUAUAUUAUGUUCAAAAUUAUGUUUAAUUCAUUAAAUUAUAUUAUUGUAUGUAAUGAAUAAAAUAAAUUGAAAGUUAGAAUG
rnacentral:lncRNA from 1 species